UAUUGGGCAAUGGGCGCAAGCCUGACCCAGCAACGCCGCGUGAAGGAAGAAGGCUUUCGGGUUGUAAACUUCUUUUGACAGGGAAGAGCAGAAGACGGUACCUGUCGAAUAAGCCCCGGCUAACUACGUGCCAGCAGCCGCGGUAAUACGUAGGUGGCAAGCGUUGUCCGGAUUUACUGGGUGUAAAGGGCGUGUAGCCGGGCUGACAAGUCAGAUGUGAAAUCCGGGGGCUCAACCCCCGAACUGCAUUUGAAACUGUUGGUCUUGAGUAUCGGAGAGGCAGGCGGAAUUCCUAGUGUAGCGGUGAAAUGCGUAGAUAUUAGGAGGAACACCAGUGGCGAAGGCGGCCUGCUGGACGACAACUGACGGUGAGGCGCGAAAGCGUGGGGAGCAAACAGGA
rnacentral:rRNA from 1 species